UUACGGCCACAUCACGUUCAAACAUAGGUUCCCAUAUGAUCACCGAAGUUAAGCAACGUACUUAGAUGGGUGACCGCUUGGGAAUAUCAGGUGAU